rnacentral:rRNA from 1 species
UGAAACAUCUAAGUACCUGAAGGAAGAGAAAGAAAUUCGAUUCCGUAAGUAGCGGCGAGCGAACGCGGAUUAGCCCAAACCAAUAAAGUUUUCUUUAUUGGGGGUGCGGACAUAUCAUAACGAAGAGAUAUCGUAAUUGAAGAGGUUUGGAAAGACCCACCACAGAAGGUAAUAGUCCUGUAUGUUAAACGAGAAGACUUUAGAUAUGAUCCAAAGUACCACGGGACACGU